rnacentral:rRNA from 1 species
UACAGAGGGGGCUAGCGUUGUUCGGAAUUACUGGGCGUAAAGCGCACGUAGGCGGACUGUUAAGUCGGGGGUGAAAUCCUGGGGCUCAACCUCAGAAUUGCCUCCGAUACUGGCAGUCUCGAGUGCGGGAGAGGUGAGUGGAAUUCCCAGUGUAGAGGUGAAAUUCGUAGAUAUUGGGAAGAACACCAGUGGCGAAGGCGGCUCACUGGCCCGUAACUGACGCUGAGGUGCGAAAGCGUGGGGAGCAAACAGG